GUUAAGGAUACGAGAAAGACUAUUUAGAGCUAGGGUGUGUGCACAGGUUGUAUCUGGCGUGUUGGUGCGCUUGUACUUGCUCUGACAGUUUUGCUCUCACUGUGAGUCGAUUCCGCUGGUGAGCGAGUCUAGCGCGUGGGUACGGGCAGCGAGCGUAUAGAGAUUGCAUUGUUAUUGUCACCAGCUCAGAUAGAAUGUUUGCCUAGCAAAUACACGGAUGGGAACCAAGCCUCAAGACUACAGUUCAUACCAAUCCAUUGGACGAGAAAAGCGCUUGGAGACACAGGGGCGGGGGAGAUGGAGAAAAUUGUUAAUUCGUACUAUAGCGCUAUAUGAGACGCAUAGGCUACAUGGCCGUUUCUAGCCUCUCCACCCUUAAUAUUAUCCAACCAUUUUAUUUCCAAAGCAAAUUAAAAGAUGGACAGACAGCAAAUGUCGAGGCGGCGUCUUUAAUCAGGCGCUAUAGGCUGUAAAGUGGGGAGAAUCUAAACGUGACGUCAAUGCCUAGUAACUGACGCAGCCCCUCCACAAAAAAAAAUAGGGCUUUUUUCUUUUUUCGUCAGCAAGCUUAUUUUUUUCCGAUAAAAAGCCUAAACCACCGGGAUAACGUGGGGUUAUCCAUGUUAUGUGAAGGGACCUGAUAUAUUUCUUAUGUAUAGGCCUAUUUUCUGAAUUGCAAAUCAACCAACUGCUGUGUAGUGAAUUCUUCAGCGAAAGUUGCAUGGAGACAGGCGCGAGAAGGCGCCAGAAGAGCUGAGCGAGAGCACGCGAAAUCAAAUAUACAUAAUAACAAUAAUAUACGACAAGUACGAAUGAGAGCGAUACGGAGAGGCAGCUCUUGUGCAGAGUUGGUAGAUGAAAAUGUAUGUAGCCUUCAUUACAUGCGCUCCACGUAACGUUCCUGAGCGAUGCCUUUGUGAGUGUUUUUUUCCCGACUUACUGCGACCUAAAAAUAGCACCAUGGUUUGAUCGCGCGCCAGAAAUAGACAGAGGGUCUCACUUGUAUAAAAAGGAAGCCGAUCCUGAGAAAACUUGGACGUGCCAUAUUAAGGCUAUUUAUGAAGCAUGGACUGAAUAUUUGUUUAUACCCAAUGUGUUAUUCCAUGUGUCAGUAGAGCAUGUUUAUGAAUGAAUUGUAAAUGUGUUUUUUCCUUCUCAUUCCCUCGGUUCUGCAAGUGGCCCCUGGCCCCUGCUAUAUGGUGAGAGGCUAACUUGACGAAGAAGGGCUACGCCAUGUUACAUCCUGGCCAGAAACGUCGACUCUCUUGGGAUUUCAUCGUCUCCAUUGAGAAAGAUGUUCGUGGUGGGGGCUCAGAGCAGUGUGAAUAACUACUACUGACGUAACUCACAAAACAGAUGGACGUGACAUAUGAAGAGUGCUGAAUGUAUUUCUAUCCUAAUUUACAAUUACAUGUGGAAUUGUUGUAUUCAUUUGAUGGGUAUAGACUGUAAGUCAUGUCCCUUUGAUGCACGCUCAUAAGAUCUCAAAUGCUGAAAUAUCUUUUCAUUGGUUGUAAACGUUUUUGCCACAUUUUUGUUGUUGUUGCUGUCUUUAAUUUAGAGAUGAAUUCUGAUGGACCUUUAUAAAAUGGCACUAUAGUUGGUAAAGUUAAGUCAUAAGCUAUCUAAGCAGGAUGAUACAUAAAAUAGGCUACCUCUUAAUGAAUAACCCCUGUUUGAGUAAUAUCCUAUCACCUGAAGAGAUAUAUUAAUAAUGUAAGAAUAUUCUGUCAAUUUGCUACUAUGCCAAAUAGGCUACGUUACAAAAGUGAGAUAAACGUCUGAAACGCCAGUUCAUCCAAGCCAUUACGUAGGCGCUACCUAUCACGUAUAUAUCGAAUGAUCUUCACUUCUGUCAAAGAAUGCAAAUGGUUGAAUGAUGACUUGUCAAAAGUCAAUCGUUUUUUCCUACUGUGCACAUUUUGCUGAGCACAUUGCAUUGGUAAAAUGUUCUAAGGCAUUUGUGGUUUGUUCAUAUUUCAUGUUUAGUUUACAUGUCGGUGCAGGCAUACAGCUAAUAGACUAUGGCGACAGCGGGGUGUCUUCCAGGCAAGAAUAUCCCAGGAUACACUGUUGUGAGACGCUCUGUCUGGAUUGCAGGCUGACGCACUGUACAUCAAAAUGCCCAACAACAAGUCUACAUUUUUCCACAGUCGUGACAUCGCGCAAAGGAGACGCAUAUUCUCUCAAUAAUCAUGUUCGAGAUGUCAUUGUGGCUCACAAAUGUACAGUGCAACGGAAUAAAAUGUUAGAAAUUCACUGACUGUCUCUCUGUUUAUGUAAUCACACAUCUCCCC
ensembl:lncRNA